CUUUUCUUCCACCCUUUCUUACCUAUCUGUUCAUUGUCACCAAUGUCUCUUUCUCUAAAUUCUCGCUCAACCUGCUUCUCCUGUAUCCUCCAUUAGUUUAGGAUGCUCCUUGCUAGAAGCCCACAGUUAAGGCCAGUUUUUCUCUGUCCAGUUCUUCUUUCUUCGUCCCUCGUGUAAAUUUUGCAGAUCUCUCUUUUCUCUCAGCUAUAAUGGUCUUAUAAUCAUGUUGGUAAUGGCAAUGCUGUAGUCAUGUAUAUGUCUAGGACUUAAAAUAUAUAUUUUAAAAUAUGUAUAUUGUGUAUUAGAACUUUAGGUGAAAAGCACUUAAAACAUCCCCCUCCCCGGAGCAGGGGGAUGGGUAGCACGGAGCUUUGCCAUUUUGUUAAAAUUGCUGUUUUCAGUCUGUAGUACAAGGAACUUUAAGUUCAUGUUUAUAACAAAAGUCCUUGGGUCUGGAAUGAACCUUUUGUGGGGCUCCUUUGUAUAGCAAGCAAGUUCACAGGAAACGUCCUGACCUGGCCCCUCUGUGAAUGACUGAAGGAAGGAAGAAAUCAACACAUCCACUCUGGAAUCUGGCUGGAGCCAGGACAACCCCCUCCUGUUUUAGUACAAAAGAAGCCUAAAUUGUAACUUCAGGAAGAUAGUUCUUUGGGGCGCUAGUUUCCAUCUUCUCCAUCUGCCAACUUUCUGAAUAAGGUCGCUGUUCCUUGUCCCAGUAACUUAUCUCUUGAUUUAUUGGCCUGUUGUCUGGUGAGCAGUAUGAACUUGGACUCAGUGAUGUUGCCAAAAUAGUAACACGAUCAGCUAACAAAAUAGGCGAGUCAACUUUAUAUGCAGCAGUCUUUUGCUUUCUUUCUGUAAAAUUCGUUCUGACAGCAUCUUUAAACAGCUUUGUAACUUUUUUAAAAAUUGUGGUAAAAUAUACAUAGCAUAAAAUUUACCAUCUUAACUAUUUUUAUGUGUACAGUUCAAUGGCAUUAAGUACAUUCACAUUGUUGUACAAACAUCAUCGCUGUAGAUCUUCAGAAUAUUUUUAUCUUCCCAGACCAAAGCUCUUUCCCCAUUAAUCAGUAACUUCCCAUUACCCCUGCACCCUAGACUCUGGCAA
ensembl:lncRNA